UGGGGAAUAUUGGACAAUGGGCGCAAGCCUGAUCCAGCCAUGCCGCGUGAGUGACGAAGGUCUUCGGAUUGUAAAGCUCUUUUGCCAGGGACGAUAAUGACGGUACCUGGAGAAUAAGCCCCGGCUAACUUCGUGCCAGCAGCCGCGGUAAUACGAAGGGGGCUAGCGUUGUUCGGAAUUACUGGGCGUAAAGCGCACGUAGGCGGAUUUGUUAGUCAGGGGUGAAAUCCCGGGGCUCAACCUCGGAACUGCCUUUGAUACUGCAAGUCUCGAGUCCGAUAGAGGUGAGUGGAAUUCCUAGUGUAGAGGUGAAAUUCGUAGAUAUUAGGAAGAACACCAGUGGCGAAGGCGGCUCACUGGAUCGGUACUGACGCUGAGGUGCGAAAGCGUGGGGAGCAAACAGGAUUAGAUACCCCUGUAGUCCCUGAGCGGGCUGGCAAGGCGCAU
rnacentral:rRNA from 1 species